rnacentral:rRNA from 1 species
GACAAACGCUGGCGGCGUGCCUAAUACAUGCAAGUCGAGCGCAGGAAACUGACGGAACUCUUCGGAGGGAAGGCAGUGGAAUGAGCGGCGGACGGGUGAGUAACACGUAAGGAACCUGCCUCAAGGAUUGGGAUAACUCCGAGCAAUCGGAGCUAAUACCGGAUAGUUCAACGGACCGCAUGGUCCGCUGAUGAAAGGCGCUUCGGCGUCACCUUGAGAUGGCCUUGCGGUGCAUUAGCUAGUUGGUGGGGUAACGGCCGACCAAGGCGACGAUGCAUAGCCGACCUGAGAGGGUGAUCGGCCACACUGGGACUGAGACACGGCCCAGACUCCUACGGGAGGCAGCAGUAGGGAAUCUUCCACAAUGGACGAAAGUCUGAUGGAGCAACGCCGCGUGAGUGAUGAAGGUUUUCGGAUCGUAAAACUCUGUUGUAAGGGAAGAACACGUACGAGAGGUAAUGCUCGUACCUUGACGGUACCUUACGAGAAAGCCACGGCUAACUACGUGCCAGCAGCCGCGGUAA